rnacentral:rRNA from 1 species
UACGGAGGGUGCGAGCGUUGUCCGGAAUCACUGGGCGUAAAGGGUACGUAGGCGGCGCGGUAAGUCGGGUGUGAAAUCUCGGAGCUUAACUCCGAAACUGCAUUCGAUACUGCCGUGCUUGAGGACUGGAGAGGAGACUGGAAUUUACGGUGUAGCGGUGAAAUGCGUAGAUAUCGUAAGGAAGACCAGUGGCGAAGGCGGGUCUCUGGACAGUUCCUGACGCUGAGGCACGAAGGCCAGGGGAGCAAACGGG